CUCGCCUGCCGCCAUGUAAACGUUCUUUGCUCCUGCUUCGUCUUCUGCCGUGAUUGUGAGGCCUCCCCAGCCAUGUGGAACUACUCAUCACUCACUGCAGAUGUUACUUUAAGACAUUCUGGAGCAGCGUCAUGUGCAGGUGAGUAGUGCCUCCUCCCAUCUCUCUUGCUCCUGGUCUCAUCGUGACGGGCCUGGUCCUGCCUCACUUUCUGCCAUGACUAAGAGCUCCCUGAGGCCUCUCCAGAAGCAGGUAUCACUAUGCUUCCUACACAGCCUGCAGAACCUUCUCUUGCCUGCCACCAUGUAAGAUAUGCUUUUACUCUUCCGCCUUCCACCGUGACUGUGAGGCCUCCCCAGCCAUGUGAAACUGCCUUUGAGCUUAUACUGAAUUAUACCACCAGCUUUCCUAGGUCUUGAAGCUUACAGACAGCAGAUCUUGGGACUUCUCAGGCACCAUAAUCAAUCAUAGAUAAAUGAUCCAAUGAUUCGGAACUUGAAAAGUGGUAGCUUUAUGAAUUCUCCUUAAGAAGAAACCUGUGCCCUGAUCUUGCCUACUCACCCAAAGGCACUGUGAGAUAGCAUCAAAGGAACAGCUAGUAAGAGACACAGAGCCAGAAAUCAGGGAAGUAAAAUACACUUGACAUCUACGUUCGGAAAGAAAUUUUAGGAGGCAGAAGCAAAUGGAUCAGAAGCUGCUUAUAUUUUUGCAAGAUUACCAAAGAAACCAUUGGUGGAGAAAGUUCUGUGACCAACUUGUCUGAGUCUAGUAAGAUUGAACGCUCACACACAAGUUUCAUGAAGUGGGUUUGAUACUUACAGAUAAGCAGCAAGGACCAACAGAAGCUGAUGAUCUAUGGUGAACUUUUUCCCAAGGCUCCGGAAAGCUGCCUAAAGUAGAUGGAGUCUUCUCUGUGUGUGCCCCACUGGUCCUGCAGUUGAAGGAUCCGGUAAAGCAGCCUGCCCUUGGUUUUAUACUCCAGAGGAACGUGAUUCGCUGGACUAAAGCAUUGAAGUGCAUCCUGUUUCCGGGGGGCACUGGAACAGAGCCUGGUCUGUUCUAGCCAGUCCCUUUCUAUCUCAGGAUAACAUUCUACAGUUAUUCUUGAGAACUAUAAUCAAAUAAGCAGGGAGAACUGGGAAAGCAGAGGCUCAUUGUGGAACCCUCAAGGAGCAUGGGGUCGUCUUCAUCCCUCAGUUUAUAAAUGGCCAAGGAGAGUAAUGCAACAAAAACUUCUCAGAGUUAAAAGCCAGAGUUCCUAAAGAACCGUGGACAAAGGGUUCUGUCUAGUGGGCAGAAUUCAUCCAGCGAAGGUGCUUACUGCACUCCCAGCAUGUGCUUGGGAACUUUAUUAAAAUUCCUUCCUAUUGAGAUUUAAAUUGCUGUCCAGAAUUAUACAAUAUAAUGAAUGGGGGCAUUCAUUAUGUGUAUUCUAUGCCUUCUCCAUCAUUGCAUAUUCAGUCCUCGUGCUAGAGAGAGGCAGAUAAUCUACCUUUUAAAUUGAUAGGUCUCCUAACUACAGAGGGUCACAUCUGGAUCUGAUGGCACCUACAGAACUUGGACUCUGAGCGACAAUCAGUGACCAGGAAAUUUGGAACCCAGGUUUUCCCAACCUACAUCUACAAAAUGGAAUGGGUCUGAUUCGCAAGUUUUCAGAGAAAGAAGCCAACCUUAAUCAGACUGUGAUAUGAUGAGGAAAUAAAACUUGCUGUGCUAAUCAACUGAUACUGGGAAGCAUGUUUAUUAUAAUAACAUAGUCUAUGCUUAACUUUUCUAAGAAACUAAUGAUCUGGAAUAUCGAUAAAAAGAAAAAAGAAAGAAAGCAAAA
rnacentral:sRNA from 1 species